rnacentral:tRNA from 1 species
CGCGGAGUAGAGCAGAGGUAGCUCGUUGGGCUCAUUCCCCAAAGGUCGCGGGUUCGACCCCCGCCUCCGCAACAA